rnacentral:rRNA from 1 species
GACCUCGGAUCAGGUAGGGAUACCCGCUGAACUUAAGCAUAUCAAUAAGCGGAGGAAAAGAAACCAACAGGGAUUGCCUCAGUAACGGCGAGUGAAGCGGCAACAGCUCAAAUUUGAAAUCUGGUCCUUCCGGGGCCCGAGUUGUAAUUUGUAGAGGAUGUUUCGGGCGCGGCGAACGGUCUAAGUCCCUUGGAACGGGGCGUCAUAGAGGGUGAGAAUCCCGUAUGUGAUCGGCGACCAAGCCCAUGUGAAACUCCUUCGACGAGUCGAGUUGUUUGGGAAUGCAGCUCAAAAUGGGUGGUAAAUUUCAUCUAAAGCUAAAUACCGGCCAGAGACCGAUAGCGCAAAGAGAGUCAAAAAGUACGUGAAAUUGUUGAAAGGGAAGCGCUUGCAACCAGACCUGCCCGCGGGCGAUCAGCCGUCCCUCCGGGGGCGGUGCACUCGCCCGCGAUCAGGCCAGCAUCGGUUCGGGCGGCCGGAUAAAGGCCUUGGGAACGUGGCUCCUUUCGGGGAGUGUUAUAGCCCUUGGUGCAAUGCGGCCCGCCUGGACCGAGGACCGCGCUUCGGCUAGGAUGCUGGCGUAAUGGUUGUAAGCGGCCCGUCUUGAAACACGGACCAAGGAGUCUAACAUCUAUGCGAGUGUUUGGGUGUCAAACCCAUACGCGGAAUGAAAGUGAACGGAGGUGGGAACCCGUUCGGGCGCACCAUCGACCGAUCCAGAUGUCUUCGGAUGGAUUUGAGUACGAGCAUAGCUGUUGGGACCCGAAAGAUGGUGAACUAUGCCAGAAUAGGGUGAAGCCAGAGGAAACUCUGGUGGAGGCUCGCAGCGGUUCUGACGUGCAAAUCGAUCGUCAAAUUUUGGCAUAGGGGCGAAAGACUAAUCGAACCAUUGGAUUUUGGUGGCUUAUUGGGGUGCCGGGCGCCCCCAGUUCAGGCGCUCUAUGCCUGGGCGACGUCGCUAGUUGCAUGAAUGGCCCCCAGCGGUGGGUGGCCAAUAUGCCGCGGCCGCCCCCGUGCUCGCAGCGGGGGCGCCGUACACAGACUAGAUAGCGACGGCUGGUCCCCGGACCGGUUCAGAUAUAGCCGAUUCCACCCCGUGCAACGGGGGGAGCCCCGGGGCGAUCCCGGGGCUGCAGGUGAAA